rnacentral:rRNA from 1 species
GUUGUAUGGUUAAGUGACUAAGCGUAUGUGGUGGAUGCCUUGGCCGUUAGAGGCGAUGAAGGACGUGUUAAUCUGCGAAAAUCAA